rnacentral:rRNA from 1 species
CCUACGGGCGGCAGCAGUGAGGAAUAUUGGUCAAUGGACGAGAAUCUGAACCAGCCAAGUAGCGUGAAGGAUGACUGCCCUAUGGGUUGUAAACUUCGUUUAUAGGGGAAUAAAACGUGCCACGUGUGGGAUUUUGUAUGUACCAUAUGAAUAAGGAUCGGCUAACUCCGUGCCAGCAGCCGCGGUAAUACGGAGGAUCCGAGCGUUAUCCGGAUUGAUUGGGUUUAAAGGGAGCGUAGGGGGAUUGUUAAGUCAGUUGUGAAAGUUUGCGGCUCAACCGUAAAAUUGCCGUUGAAACUGGCAGUCUUGCUUACAGUCUCGGUGGGCGGACUUCGUUGUGUAGCGG